rnacentral:rRNA from 1 species
AAGAAAGUAAGAAAGGGCACACGGGGGAUGCCUAGGCUCUCAGAGGCGAAGAAGGACGUGAUAAGCUGCGAUAAGCGCCGGGGAUCUGCAAAUAAGAGCCGAUCCGGUGAUUUCCGAAUGGGGAAACCUGGCAUGUUGAAGACAUGCCGUAUAUAACGCGAACGCGCUGAACUGAAACAUCUAAGUAGGCGCAGGAAGAGAAAAUAACAAUGAUUUCCUGAGUAGUGGCGAGCGAAAGGGAAAGAGCCCAAACCGUUGCUGUUACGGCAGCAGCGGGGUUGUAGGACCGCGACGUGGUACAAUCCGAAGAAGUGGAAAGGUCUGGGAAGGCCUGCCGUAGAGCAUGAGAGCUGCGUACACGUAAUGGAGAUUGACCUAGCGGGAUCCUGAGUACCGCGGGGUCGGAGACGCCCUGUGGGAAUCCGGCGGCACCAUCCGCCAAGGCUAAAUACUCCUGAGAGACCGAUAGUGAACCAGUACCGUGAGGGAAAGGUGAAAAGAACCCCGAACAGGGGAGUGAAACAGAACCUGAAACCGUGUGCUUACAAGCGGUCGGAGCCGGCAGGUCCGGUGACGGCGUGCCUUUUGCAUAAUGAGCCUACGAGUUACUCUUCACUGGCAAGGUUAAGUGGUUAAGCCACGCAGCCGAAGCGAAAGCGAGUCUGAACAGGGCGCAGAGUCAGUGGAGGUAGACGCGAAACCUUGUGAUCUACCCAUGGGCAGGUUGAAGGUGCGGUAACACGUACUGGAGGACCGAACCGAUAAACGUUGAAAAGUUUCCGGAUGACCUGUGGGUAGGGGUGAAAGGCUAAUCAAACUGGGAAAUAGCUCGUACUCCCCGAAAUGUUUUUAGGAACAGCGUGGACAUGUAGUCUGACAGAGGUAGAGCUACCGAUUGGGUGCGGGGGAGUCACAUCCUACCAAAUCCAGACGAACUCCGAAUACUGUUCAGAUAUGGUCUGCAGUGAGGCUCCGGGUGCUAAGGUCCGGGGCCGAGAGGGAAAGAACCCAGACCACCUGCUAAGGUCCCCAAGUGUGUGCUAAGUUGAACUAACGAGGUCCGGUUGCCCAGACAGCUAGGAUGUUGGCUUGGAAGCAGCCAUUCAUUUAAAGAGUGCGUAACAGCUCACUAGUCGAGCGGCCGGGCGUGGAUAAUAAACGGGCAUCAAGCACACCACCGAAGCAGUGGGAUAUAUGAAUAUAUCGGUAGGGGAGCAUUCCAUCGGGGGCGAAGCGGAGCGGCGAUGCGCCGUGGACCUGAUGGAAAAGCAAAUGUAGGCAUAAGUAACGAUAAGGCGGGCGAGAAACCCGCCCACCGAAAGACCAAGGUUUCCUGAUCAACGCUAAUCGGAUCAGGGUCAGUCGGGACCUAACGCGAAACCCGAAAGGGGAAGUGGAUGGACAACCGGUUAACAUUCCGGUACUCUUUAUAACUGCGAUGUGGUGACGGAGCAGUGACACUGCCGCGCACUGACGGAAUAGUGCGUUGAAGGCUUUAGGUACAGGACCGGCAGGCAAAUCCGCCGGUACUGCUGAAGGCCGAUAGUACGGCAAACCUUCGGGGGCGCCGAUAGCGCAGGUAAUCAGACUUCCGAGAAAACCCGCUAAGCUCCAGGUUAUAAAGACCCGUACCGCAAACCGACACAGGUGGUCGAGGAGAGAAUCCUAAGGUGCUCGAGUGAAUCAUGGCUAAGGAACUCGGCAAAAUGGCCCUGUAACUUCGGGAGAAGGGGCGCUUCCUCAAGCGAUUGAGAAGCCGCAGUGAAAAGGCCCAGGCGACUGUUUAACAAAAACAUAUGGCUUUGCCAAAUCGAAAGAUGACGUAUAAGGCCUGACACCUGCCCGGUGCCGGAAGGUUAAGAGGGGAUGUCAACCUUCGGGUGAAGCAUUGAAUCGAAGCCCCGGUAAACGGCGGCCGUAACUAUAACGGUCCUAAGGUAGCGAAAUUCCUUGUCGGGUAAGUUCCGACCUGCACGAAUGGUGUAACGAUCUGGGCGCUGUCUCGGCCAUGAGCUCGGUGAAAUUGUGGUAUCGGUGAAGACGCCGGUUACCCGCAACGGGACGGAAAGACCCCAUGAACCUUCACUAUAGCUUAACAUUGGUACUGGGUGCAGGAUGUGUAGGAUAGGCGGGAGAUAUUGAAGCGCGUUCGCCAGGAUGCGCGGAAUCGCCCUUGAAAUACCGCCCUUUCUGUAUCCGGUUCCUAAUCCGCUAUUUGCGGAGACAUUGUUUGGUGGGUAGUUUGACUGGGGUGGUCGCCUCCAAAAAGGUAACGGAGGCUUUCAAAGGUAAGCUCAGUACGCUUGGUAACCGUACGCGGAGUGCAAUGGCAAAAGCUUGCUUGACUGUGGGACAUACAGGUCGAACAGGGUCGAAAGACGGACAUAGUGAUCCGGUGGUUCUGCAUGGAAGGGCCAUCGCUCAAAGGAUAAAAGGUACUCUGGGGAUAACAGGCUGAUCUCCCCCAAGAGCUCAUAUCGACGGGGAGGUUUGGCACCUCGAUGUCGGCUCGUCACAUCCUGGGGCUGGAGAAGGUCCCAAGGGUUCGGCUGUUCGCCGAUUAAAGUGGCACGCGAGCUGGGUUCAGAACGUCGCGAGACAGUUCGGUCCCUAUCUGUUGUGGGCGUUGGAAGUUUGAGCGGGGCUGACCUUAGUACGAGAGGACCGGGUUGGACCAGCCGCUGGUGAAUCUGUUAUGCCGCCAGGUGUACCGCAGAGUAGCUAUGCUGGGAAUAGAUAAGCGCUGAAAGCAUCUAAGUGCGAAACUAGCCGCGAGAUGAGACUUCCUUACAGGGCCGUAGCAGACUACUACGUCGAUAGGCGGCAGGUGUAAAGGUAGAGAUACCAUAGCCGAGCCGUACUAAUAGCCCGAAGCUUUCUCAAG